rnacentral:rRNA from 1 species
GGGCCCGCACAAGCAGUGGAGUAUGUGGAUUAAUUCGAUGCAACGCGAAGAACCUUACCAGGUCUUGACAUCGUGCGCAUAGCCUAGAGAUAGGUGAAGUCUUCGGACGCACAGACAGGUGGUGCAUGGUUGUCGUCAGCUCGUGUCGUGAGAUGUUGGGUUAAGUCCCGCAACGAGCGCAACCCUUAUCGUCAGUUACUACGCAAGAGGACUCUGGCGAGACUGCCGUUGACAAAACGGAGGAAGGUGGGGAUGAUGUCAAAUCAGCAUGCCCUUUAUGACCUGGGCUUCACACGUACUACAAUGGCCGUCAACAGAGAGAGGCGAAGGAGCGAUCUGGAGCAAAACUCAGAAAACGGUCUCAGUUCGGAUUGUAGGCUGCAACCGCCUGCAUGAAGCCGGAAUUGCUAGUAAUCGCGGAUCAGCAUGCCG